UACGGAGGGAGCUAGCGUUGUUCGGAAUUACUGGGCGUAAAGCGCGCGUAGGCGGCUUUGUAAGUUAGAGGUGAAAGCCCGGGGCUCAACCCCGGAACUGCCUUUAAGACUGCAUCGCUUGAAUCCGGGAGAGGUGAGUGGAAUUCCGAGUGUAGAGGUGAAAUUCGUAGAUAUUAGGAAGAACACCGGUGGCGAAGGCGGCCCACUGGAUCGGUACUGACGCUGAGGUGCGAAAGCGUGGGGAGCAAACAGG
rnacentral:rRNA from 1 species